GAUGAACGCUGGCGGCGUGCCUAAUACAUGCAAGUCGAGCGAACAGACGAGGAGCUUGCUCCUCUGACGUUAGCGGCGGGCGGGCGAGUAACACGUGGAUCACCUACCUCUAUUACUUGGAUAACUUCGGAAAACCGGAUCUACUACCAGAUAAUAUAUUCAACCGCAUGGUUCAAUAGUGAUUGGCGGUUUUGCUGUCUCUUAUAGAUGGAUCCGCGCCGCAUUAGCUAGUUGGUAAGGUAACGGCUUACCAAGGCAACGAUGCGUAGCCGACCUGAGAGGGUGAUCGGCCACACUGGAACUGAGACACGGUCCAGACUCCUACGGGAGGCAGCAGUAGGGAAUCUUCCGCAAUGGGCGAAAGCCUGACGGAGCAACGCCGCGUGAGUGAUGAAGGUCUUCGGAUCGUAAAACUCUGUUAUUAGGGAAGAACAAAUGUGUAAGUAACUAUGCACGUCUUGACGGUACCUAAACAGAAAGCAACGGCUAACUACGUG
rnacentral:rRNA from 1 species